UACGUAGGGAGCAAGCGUUAUCCGGAAUUACUGGGCGUAAAGGGUGAGUAGGCGGCUAUGUAAGUCAUAUGUGAAAGGCAGGGGCUCAACCCCUGGACUGCAUAAGAAACUAUAUAGCUAGAGUGUGGGAGAGGCAAGCGGAAUUCCUAGUGUAGCGGUGAAAUGCGUAGAUAUUAGGAAGAACACCGGUGGCGAAGGCGGCUUGCUGGACCAUAACUGACGCUGAGGCACGAAAGCGUGGGGAGCGAAC
rnacentral:rRNA from 1 species